CCUACGGGAGGCAGCAGUGAGGAAUAUUGGUCAAUGGCCGAGAGGCUGAACCAGCCAAGUCGCGUGAAGGAUGACUGCCCUACGGGUUGUAAACCUCUUUUGUCGAGGAACAAAACGAACCACGUGUGGUUCAUUGCAAGUACCCUAUGAAUAAGCAUCGGCUAACUCCGUGCCAGCAGCCGCGGUAAUACGGAGGAUGCGAGCGUUAUCCGGAUUUAUUGGGUUUAAAGGGUGCGUAGGUGGGGUGUCAAGUCAGCUGUGAAAGUUGGGGGCUCAACCGGAUAAUUGCAGUUGAUACUGGCAGUCUUGAGUGCGGUAGAGGUAGGCGGAAUUCGUGGUGUAGCGGUGAAAUGCUUAGAUAUCACGAAGAACCCCGAUUGCGAAGGCAGCAUACUAAACUGUAACUGACGUUGAUGCUCGAAAGUGUGGGUAUCGAACAGGAUUAGAUACCCGAGUAGUC
rnacentral:rRNA from 1 species